rnacentral:lncRNA from 1 species
CACAGUUCAGGAAGUGAUGCCCUCCAAAGAAAACUCUUUAAAAACUUGGAAUCAGCUUUUAAAAUUGAUCAAAUGCGUGCUUUUCUGUGAAAACGUGCGUAUUUUGGUUGGUAAACAUGGAAGUUUCUCCCCAGGUGGAGUCUUUUGAAGCGUGUUUUUGUGAUCAACUUCUUGUUACUUUAUCAAACAGUCAAUCGGGAUAGUUGUGUCGGUUGAUCUGACUCCUGGAAGGGUGUCACCUCCCCCGUUUUCACUUGCGUUCACGUCGUGGACGCCGCGUGUCCUGCGCGUUUUGGCCGCUAAAUCAGCCCCGCGGCGUGGCUGCGCUCCGGAUCCAGGCGAUUUCUUGGACUUUUUGAGACAAAAAGAGGCCAACUUCCGUCUUUUGGCGCAUCGUGGGGGCCGGAGUGUCGGCGUUUUGGGCAGAAAUCGGGCGCAGAGGGUGCACCUUUGCGCAGAGGACUGGUUUCAGUGCGGAGUGGCUCCGCUGGGGUGCACAAAGACAGCGGCUCGCAGAGGAACUUGUUCAGAGUGAAGCUGGGGACGCUGGGAGGCGAAAUAGCAACGCGCCGGAGCUGAAGUAGCGACGAAUGCGCGGUUUGAGCGGCCGAACGGCGACUCUCCUCUCUUCGUCUGGGAAAUCCAAGGGCGGUCAGGAAGUCCAGGAGGAACGGGGGCUACGUAUGGAUACCCGGCAGACGGCAGGGAUGCGGUCGGGAAAAGAGGAUCUUAAGAAACAUUUGCGGGCCUCCGCUUCGGAAAGCUGGGAGCCCCAAGACACUGAGAUGGAAGUAGACGAAAAGGGGGAUUUGGGCGCCCAUCCUCAAGCCAAGUGGAAGCCUAUCCCUCCUCUGCUGCCGGACUCGCAGGAGCAUCACCAGGACCCCUCGGCUAAGACCAGGAACCAGAGCUGCCAGACGGAGGAGCAGCUCGAGGAUGCCACCACCUGCAGCCACCACACAGGUCAGUUUAAAUUCCCUCAUAUUCCUUCCAAUCAUAGAACUACGGAAAGAAGAAGCUUGCAUUUGCUUUUUAAAUGUGCUCUUAAAAAAAGUUUUCAAGUUGG